UCCAAGCUACUAAGAGCCAACGGUGGAUGCCUUGGCGCCAAGAACCGAUGAAGGACGUGAGUGACUGCGAAAAGCUGCGGGGAGCCGUCUACUAGGCCCUGAUCCGCAGAUGUCCGAAUGGGGAAACCCGG
rnacentral:rRNA from 1 species